rnacentral:misc_RNA from 1 species
GAUGAAGAACGCAGCGAAAUGCGAUAAGUAAUGUGAAUUGCAGAAUUCAGUGAAUCAUCGAAUCUUUGAACGCAUCUUGCGCUCCUUGGUAUUCUGAGGAGCAUGCCUGUUUGAGUGUCAUUAAAUUCUCAACUACACUGACUUUGAAUUGGUGUGGCUUGGCUUUGGGGGGAAAAUUGUUGUGGGCUUUUUGUAUAGUCUGCUCCCCUGAAAUUGAUUAGCGGUACCUUUGUGGAACUGUCUACAGGUGUGAUAAUUAUCUACAUCUUAGACAUCUGCUGGAAUGCUGCUUUCUAAACCUUACUUGUAUUGACAAUCUUGACCUCAAAUCAGGUAGGACUACCCGCUGAACUUAAGCAUAUCAAUAAGCGGAGGA